AACGAACGCUGGCGGCAUGCCUAACACAUGCAAGUCGAACGAGACCUUCGGGUCUAGUGGCGCACGGGUGCGUAACGCGUGGGAACCUGCCCUUAGGUUCGGAAUAACUCCCCGAAGGGGGUGCUAAUACCGGAUAAUGUCUUCGGACCAACGAUCUAUCGCCUUUGGAUGGGCCCGCGUUGGAUUAGCCAGUUGGUAGUGUAAAAGCCUACCAAGGCGACGAUCCAUGGCUGGUCGGGUAGCAUGAUCAGCCACACUGGGACUGAGACACGGCCCAGACUCGUACGCGAGGCAGCAGUAGGUAAUAUUAGACAAUGGGCGAAAGCCCGACACAGCAAUGCCGCGGGAGUGAUGAAGGGCUUAGGGUUGUAAAGCCCUUUUACCCGGGAUGAUAAUGACAGUACCGGGAGAAUAAGCACCGGCUAACUCCGUG
rnacentral:rRNA from 1 species